ACCGGGCUGAAUGACCCACGCGCACUGGACAUUGCUUUAGCUAGGCUUAGCCUAAUGGCGCAUUCCGCCAUGCCUGAGGAAGCCUUUGAUCGCCUAAACGAGCGAAUUAGCGAUCAGUCAAUUCGCUCCGUUCUCGCCACACAAUUUCCAGGGCUUCGUCACGUAACGUCCAGCGAACUGCUCGCUCGGGUUGGCAACAUCAGGACAGUGUCGUCGAAGCUCUUCAUUAUUCGCCAGUGGUGUCAACACAACGGCACAGACGCGGGUGCCUCUGAAGUAAUCGGACGU
rnacentral:misc_RNA from 1 species